rnacentral:hammerhead_ribozyme from 1 species
AUUCAGUUGACGAGUCUCAAACAGAACGAAAUGCGCGCCCUGAAU